rnacentral:rRNA from 1 species
CCUACGGGUGGCAGCAGUGGGGAAUAUUGCGCAAUGGGGGAAACACUGACGCAGCAACGCCGCGUGAGUGAAGACGUAUCUCGGUAUGUAAAGCUCUAUCAGCGGGGAAGAAGGCAGACGGUACCCGACUAAGAAGCCCCGGCUAACUACGUGCCAGCAGCCGCGGUAAUACGUAGGGGGCAAGCGUUAUCCGGAUUUACUGGGUGUAAAGGGAGCGUAGACGGCGUCGCAAGUCUGAAGUGAAAGCCCGUGGCUCAACCGCGGAACUGCUUGGGAGACUGCGUGGCUGGAGUGCUGGAGAGGUAAGCGGAAUGCCUGGUGUAGCGGUGAAAUGCGUAGAUAUCAGGAGGAACACCGGUGGCGAAGGCGGCUUACUGGACAGUGACUGACGUUGAGGCUCGAAAGCGUGGGGAGCGAACAGGAUUAGAUACCCGAGUAGUC